rnacentral:lncRNA from 1 species
AGCUCCCUCCUAAAUUAGAACAGCAGCACCAUCUUCUCCCUGGGUCUCCAGCUCCAUGAAACUCAAGCUAGAAUAGCAGCACCGGCUCCUCUGGGAUCUUCAGCUCCACGACCCUAAGACAUCAGUGGUAGCACCGGCUCCUCCCCUGGGCUCCAGCUCCAGGACCCUCAGACUUGAACAAAAACACCAGCUCCUCCCCAGGCCUCCAGCUCCUUGACCCUCAUAAACAAUCCCUUCUUAUGAAAUGUAGCAGUCAGGAAAACUGUAGAGGAAGUAAAUAAAUAAAUGUUUUCUUUCAAA